rnacentral:rRNA from 1 species
CCCUUAGAUGCUCUGGGCCGCACGCGCGCUACACUGGUCGAUGCAACGAGUUUCUUUCCUUGGCCGACAGGCCUGGGCAAUCUUUGAACAUCGAUCGUGAUCGGGAUAGAUUCUUGCAAUUAUGGGUCUUCAACGAGGAAUUCCUAGUAAACGCAAGUCAUCAGCUUGCAUUGAUUACGUCCCUGCCCUUUGUACACACCGCCCGUCGCACCUACCGAUUGAAUGGUCCGGUGAAAUCUCGGGACGGCGGCUUGGUCGCUUGCGUCCGACUGCUGAAACUUGAUUAAACCAUAUCAUUUAGAGGAAGGUGAAGUCGUAACA